CUGGCAUUUGGAAGGAGAGCAGUGAGUCAGGCUGUGCCAAGACAGGUGGAUCCUGUAGAGCAGGAAAUCUUCUCAGUUAGUUUCUGGUUUCUUGGAACUGUCGGAGAGUCAGAAUGUGGAAGAGUCCUUGGAAAGCACCAAAACAGGGGAUGAGGAGCAAUGCAAUGCAGAAAAAGGUCACGUUUCACCUAAAGAAGAACUGUUUCAAAGGU